rnacentral:rRNA from 1 species
UACGUAGGGGGCAAGCGUUGUCCGGAAUCAUUGGGCGUAAAGAGCGUGUAGGCGGCCAGGUAGGUCGGUUGUGAAACUGGAGGCUCAACCUUCAGAGGUCGACCGAAACCAUCUGGCUAGAGUCCGGGAGAGGAGAGUGGAAUUCCGUGGUGUAGCGGUGAAAUGCGCAGAUAUCAGGAAGAACACCCGUGGCGAAGGCGGCUCUCUGGGACGGUACUGACGCUGAGACGCGAAAGCGUGGGGAGCGAACAGG